rnacentral:rRNA from 1 species
UACGAAGGGUGCAAACGUUGCUCGGAAUUAUUGGGCGUAAAGCGCACGUAGGCGGCUUUGCAAGUCGGAUGUGAAUCCCUCGGCUCAACCAAGGAAGUGCAUCCGAAACUGCAGAGCUUGAGUACCAAAGAGGAUCGCGGAAUUCCCGGUGUAGAGGUGAAAUUCGUAGAUAUCGGGAGGAACACCAGUGGCGAAGGCGGCGAUCUGGGUGGAUACUGACGCUGAGGUGCGAAAGCGUGGGAGCAACAGG